AACAACUCCAGUUGUCCAGUGUUUGAUUUGUAAAACUGUUUCAAGUACAGGACAAACUGGAGGCAUGGGACAGGACAA
rnacentral:pre_miRNA from 1 species